UAUGCAAGUGACGAUAAAAUAGACAGGGACAUCAGAACUCCAUGGAGUGUUGAUGAUUUGUCGCUGGGAAUCUCUCUGAUGCAUA